CGGACGGGUGAGUAACGCGUGGGUAGCCUGCCUUACACAGGGGGAUAACACUUAGAAAUAGGUGCUAAAACCGCAUAAGCGCACAGCUUCGCAUGAAGCGGUGUGAAAAACUCCGGUGGUGUAAGAUGGACCCGCGUCUGAUUAGCUUGUUGGCGGGGUAACGGCCCACCAAGGCGACGAUCAGUAGCCGGCCUGAGAGGGCGGACGGCCACAUUGGGACUGAGACACGGCCCAGACUCCUACGGGAGGCAGCAG
rnacentral:rRNA from 1 species